rnacentral:rRNA from 1 species
AUUGAACGCUGGCGGCGUGCCUUACACAUGCAAGUCGAACGGUAACGGGUCCUUCGGGAUGCCGACGAGUGGCGAACGGGUGAGUAAUAUAUCGGAACGUGCCGAGUAGUGGGGGAUAACUGCUCGAAAGAGCAGCUAAUACCGCAUACGACCUGAGGGUGAAAGGGGGGGAUCGCAAGACCUCUCGCUAUUGGAGCGGCCGAUAUCAGAUUAGCUAGUUGGUGGGGUAAAGGCCUACCAAGGCAACGAUCUGUAGUUGGUCUGAGAGGACGACCAGCCACACUGGGACUGAGACACGGCCCAGACUCGUACGGGAGGCAGCAGUGGGGAAUUGUGGACAAUGGGCGCAAGCCUGAUUCAGCAAUGCCGCGUGCAGGAAGAAGGCCUUCGGGUUGUAAACUGCUUUUGUCAGGGAAGAAAUCUUCUGGGCUAAUACCCCGGGAGGAUGACGGUACCUGAAGAAUAAGCACCGGCUAACUACGUGCCAGCCGCCGCCGUAA